UCUCGCAUAGUUACUAACAAUGAAAAUAGCACUAGAAAUAUUAAACUCUCCACAGACAGUCGUCAUUUUUUCCGUGCGCUAGAAUUAUACUUUCAAAUUAGUGUUCUUUUUCCGGAAAAUAUCGUUGAUUGUUCGAAUGUAACUUGUGAAUCAUAGAUCACAGAAUCAACUGAAAUUCUUAUGAAUGCCGGCGCUUGUCUUAAGUGUGUGGUGGGCGUGAACAAGCGAACAAUUCUAAAACAGCGUCGAGGUUUGUGGUUGGUGGCUUCUUAUUGUCGAUAUUGUGGAGGAAGAACAAUAAGAAAAUAAAAAUAAACGUUGUACGAGCACAUCAGAGCCAUCUGGCGCCACAAAUGUAUAAGAAUCAAGUCGUUUAAUACAGAGAAAAUUGUUAUGUAAAACAUAACAUUUGGUGCGUAGAUGUCUGCAAUCUUAUAUUUAAGGACACACAAUUCCUCUACAGCAUUUCAGAAAAGGUUAAUUUUAUCUUCAUGGUACCAAUGCAAUCAUUCAGACCUACAGCCACUUUGAACUGCUUCUUUUUUGACCAUGGCAAGACCCGUUAUGAAGUAGGAAAUAUUCGUUUUUCCGACUACGUGUUGUCCAACCACAAGCACCGACAAUUAUAAUACUAACAUCUCACAUCAAGCACUUUGCAUAAGAAUCUCCGAUACAGAAAGUGAUGACUGCCAGGUCAGAAAAUCUUAUUAAUAUUGAGCUUGGUUCCGAUGUCAUGUCGGAACCUAUUAUUUAAAAUUUUUAUUUUUGAUUAGAGCAAAGUUUUUU